UAAUCGUCAAAUGGACAAAUCGGAAUACGGAAUACUAAAUUACUUGCACGGUUCAUGUGAUGAAUCUGUGGUAAAACAAUCAAUAAUUGAUGGAGUAUUAUUAUAUAAUUAUGAAUUGAAAUAAAUCGUAUGAAUAUUUAUCGAAGAAAUUUUUUAAUUUAUUUAAAUCAUACGGUGGCACAAAAUCCGUCAAAAAUCCCAGCUCACCGGAACAAUAUUAAAAUAUAAUUUAACGUAAAAAAGAUAUUACGAAUCGAUCGAAUCCCGAGUUACUCGACCAACGAUAAUAAAUUUUUUACUACGAUAUAAACAUUUAUAUUUUCCAGAAAUUAAUUUUUCCUAAUUAUCGUAUUUGCGAAAAAGAUACGUACAACAGAUAGGCGAUAUGUACUCGCUGUGUAGAUCAAUAGUGAAAAAUGGGAAGAAAGCAAUUAAUUUUAGAAAGGAUUAAUUUUAGAAAGCAUUUUUAUUUUUAUUAUCGGAUCGUAUAUGUAGGUCGUAUUUCGAUAUUUCGAUUAAACGUUCGUCCAAACGAUGCUACAUCGACCAUUGAUAUUUUUAAACGAACGUAACAGUUGUUCUAUCUUAAAAUAGAUAGUCGAACGAUUUUACUUUCUUUUUUAAAGAAAUCGUAUUCGUUUCACGCUUGUUAUUUAAAUAAUAAAACAGUUCGAUGAAGUAUACAACGAACGUUUUCGCAUCAAAUUUAACGAGAUUAUAUGCAACAUUUGGCGCGGCCAAGUAUAAAAUAACGUGAAAUGGAGCCGCGCACGAUUUGCGCUCAUUGCUGCGGAUACGAUACGAUACGAUAAAAUACGGUAAAAUUAGGGGAAAAUUUUUGCAAACAUUACGCGUAAUAAUUUUUAAGGUCGUACGAUAUUCGAUCAGAGGAUUUCUAUUCCGAGAAAUGAAAUAUCGAAAGAGGAAAAAGCGCAUUGUUGGCUUAAAUUAUUCGUUCAAAAUAGACGGGAAGAAUUUUUAUCGAGGGACGAUAUACACGAUUACGAGGAAAUAAGUUAAUCCAGGAGGAAGGAGUGAAUAGGAGCGCAUAACCGUCCGUGCCAAGAGUCGCACACGAUGGUGGAAUGUAAAUGGGAAAUUCGGUGAGAUCUUUCUUCGUAAUGAACACGGUUACGUUGCAAGUUGUUGGUUGGCGUGCUACUUUACCUUGUGCAUUUUACGGUAUUCUCGCGUUAAUGCGAUAAGAGAGAGCAGUCUCGGUCGAGCAUACCUAUAAUUUAAAUUGUCCGCCUUCUCGUCGCUCGCUAAUGCGAGGUGAUACUUAAAGCGGAACAAUCGCCACCACGCCGAUAAUUUUCGUUUCACCUUCGUCCUCGAAUCUCGCGUCCCUGCGAAAUUUCAUCUUCGAAUCAUCGAACGUGUUAUCGCGAGAGAAGAGAAAAAAAAAAAUUGACGCGAUCGAUAUCACUCGAACAGAUUUAUCCGUGGAACGGAAAUAGGGAAACGAUAUUUUAUCAUUUUAUCGAGUGACGGUAAAUAUUAACGCAAACUCCCUUGGAUGAUAUACAUACAUUUCCGCAUUCCCGGUUUCCGAAGUUUCUCGCUCGAGAUAAGAUAACCGUACACGAUAUACUUAAUAUAACCUUCGGUUGCAACCUGCUGUCCCUUAUUCGACGUUUCAGCAAUAAGGAUAACAACGGAGAAUAUACGUUGCUUAGAAAACUGUCCCGUUUUCUCCAAUGUCGUAACAAAUAUAUAUAUAUAUAUAAUAAAAGCUUCAAUUUUCAAUCUCGAACCAUUUUACCUUCAGAGGCACGUUUCCAAAAACAAUUCCGAAACUUUAUCGAUAUUGCAAUUCCCACCAGUGUAAUAACGUUACAUAAAUUUAGCUUUCGAGUGUACGAGAUAUUUAUCAAUAAGAAACAUCGAUAUUUUAAGAUUCUUUACAGUUUACGCAAAGUUUAUUACUACGAAGACAAGAAGAAGUACUUUAUUCCAAUAUCUCGUUAACGAUCGAACGUCUCGAUCAAAUUAUUAUUUUCUUGGGUAAUUCCGUGUAUCAAAAGUAUUUUUCAGUUCGAUAACUCAAUCGGUAUUUUUCACUUAAGAAGAAAAAAUCGAAACGAUUCGAAAUAUUGGAAUCUAAAUAGAAUUAUUUUCUUAGAAACGAAGAACGAUGGUGAAUGGUGAAUUAUGUCGUCGUCUCGGUGAGAUUGGCGAGGCGCGAAGCGCGUUAUCGGAACGCGUACAAUUGGACGUUGAAGUCGGUGGUCGUUUAUAGUCGGCCACUUGGAAGAAAUCUUUUUCUCUAGGAGGAGAAGCGAGACUUUAACGAGCUAACGGAACCAAGAGUUCGGAAUCGGGUCCUUAAAUAUCUUGGCUGCCUAUCCAGAUACCUAUCCAGCUUUUCCGUAUCAACGAGUAAACGAUUUCGAACCAACAGUUCUCUAUUUCAUGUCACGGAGAAAAGUUUCCAAUCGCGGAAACCUUUCGUAGUCGAUACCUUUCACCUUAUAUUUAUCUUUACUCUGAUAAAAACGAACGCUCGCAAAUUUUCGCCAUGCGUAUUCAUCUCGACUUUUUCGCAAAUUAUAUAGAUGUAGAUGUAGAUUUCAUUGCUGGAAAAAAACGAAUUCGUCGUCCCUCGAGUCCCUAUCUUUGUUUCGGCUACUUUUUCUAUAAACGAGACUAACUCUUCUUCUUUGUCCGCAGAUCGGAUAACGCUAAUUACGCCAGUACAUUAGAAGAGUGGAAGUUCCGGAAAUAAAGCGCACCCGUCCACAUUUACCUCUGGCAAUGCCUAUCGCGUAGGUAGACGCGGCUGUCCUAAUUACCUACGGCUCGGCGAGACGCCUUCUUGUCUGCAUAUAUUCCAUGUAACGACGAGUCUUUCGAGAAGAAGGAAAAAAAGAAAGAACUACGAAGCAAGCGAUAUUUAUAAAUCGCAGAAUACACUCUAUCUCUUGUUACGUAAUAUGAAAUUGAAUAAAAUUUGUAUGCUCGC